rnacentral:rRNA from 1 species
GCGAUAGUGACCGUUCCUGCAGAAGAAGCGCCGGCUAACUACGUGCCAGCAGCCGGGGUAAUACGUAGGGCGCGAGCGUUGUCCGGAAUUAUUGGGCGUAAAGAGCUCGUAGGCGGCUUGACACGUCGGUUGUGAAAGCCCGGGGCUUAACCCCGGGUCUGCAGUCGAUACGGGCCAGGCUAUAGUUCGGUAGGGGAGAUCGGAAUUCCUGGUGUAGCGGGUGAAAUGCGCAGAUAUCAGGAGGAACACCGGUGGCGAAGGCGGAUCUCUGGGCCGAUACUGACGCUGAGGAGAGAAAGCGUGGGGAGCGAACAGGAUUAAAUACCCUUGGUAGUCCACCCCGUAAACGGUGGGCACUAGGUGUGGGCGACAUUCCACGUCAUCCGUGCCGCAGCUAACGCAUUAAGUACCCCGCCUGGGGAGUACGCCCGCAAGGCUAAAACUCAAAGGAAUUGACGGGGGCCCGCACAAGCGGCGGAGCAUGUGGUUUAAUUAGACGCAACGUGAAGAACCUUACCAAGGCUUUACAUACACCGGAAAGCAUCAGAGAUGGUGCCCCCCUUGUGGUCGGUGUACAGGUGGUGCAUGGCUGUCGUCAGCUCGUGUCGUAAGAUGUUGGGUUAAGUCCCACAAUGAGCACAACCCUUGUCCCGUGUUGCCAGCAGGCCCUUGUGGUACUGGGGACUCACGGGAAACCGCC